AUUGAACGCUGGCGGCAGGCCUAACACAUGCAAGUCGAACGAGUGGCGGACGGGUGAGUAAUGUCUGGGAAACUGCCCGAUGGAGGGGGGUAACUACUGGAAACGGUAGCUAAUACCGCAUACCAUCGGAUGUGCCCAGAUGGGAUUAGCUAGUAGGUGGGGUAACGUCUCACCUAGGCGACGAUCCCUAGCUGGUCUGAGAGGAUGACGAGCCACACUGGACCUGUGCCCCGGUCCAGACUCCUACGGGAUGUAGCAGUGGGGAAUAUUGCACAAUGGGCGCAAGCCUGAUGCAGCCAUGCCGCGUGUAUGAAGAAGGCCUUCGGGUUGUAAAGUACUUUCAGCGGGGAGGCGUUACCCGCAGAAGAAGCACCGGCUAACUCCGUGCCAGCAGCCGCGGUAAUUC
rnacentral:rRNA from 1 species